AAUGUUAAUACUCUUCUCAGUUCUAGAUUUUUGGAUCUUUAUCAUGUUCUCUAACUCUACUCCUGCCUGUGUUUCCAUCCACGCGCUCUCUCUCUCAUCUUGUUUGAGUGACUUUUUAUCUUGAUACCAUUGGACUAUUUCUAUGAAUUAAAAUCCUUUCUUCUAUUAAAAAAAAUUGAAAAGCUGCGUGGGAGUGGGAGAGGGUGUGAUGAAUGAGGCAAAGUGAGGAGUGAGGAGGACCUUAAACUAUUAUUAGUGGCACCCAUUUCAUUCCUGCAACUGCUACUUAUCCAUAUUUGCAUCUUCUUCUUUCUCUUCUUCUUCUUCUUAUUGCUGGGGACCACGACCAUUGAAAUCGAUCCUCUAUCGUUAUUAGUAAUUACUCCUUUCUCUCUUCUUCCAGGUCCCACACAACCCCUCUUCAAUGCCAUGCUUCUCUUCUGUUCCUCUUCCACACAACCUACCUGCUAACUUACUUCCCACACACAAUUACCAAUAACAGCGCCACCAUCCACCAUGGCCGCAACACUCUCCCUCUCCCUCUCUUUAGACCCCCAAACCCACCACCACCACCGAUUCUUCUUCCCCAACCACCACACGCGUCAUUUCGCAUAUUCACUCCCAAAUUUCCACAUUUACUCUUCACAAUCCUUCAAAAUCUCAUCUUCCACCCCUUCCCAUUCUCACUCCUCAACAACAUCACCACCACCACCGCCGCCAAUCUCCUCUCUGUACCUGGACGACCCCUUCCGCACAGGUCGCUUCCUCACCAACGACGAGCUCGACCGCCUCCGCUUCCUGGAAUCCUUCGUCUACUCGGAGGACCUCAAAUCCGGCUCCAUGUGGGUCCGUGUGAUGCGCCCCGACGAGACUGACACCACCGUCGCUCUCCUCGCCGAAUCCUUCGCCGAGUCAAUGAUGCUGCCGCCGGGGUACGCUGGGCUGCUCAGGUUCCUCAUCAAGAAGUACCUUCUGGAGAGGAGAACCCUCAUGCCUCACAUGGCCACACUCCUUGGAUUCUACAGAGAAAACGCUCCUAAUCAGGGAGAACAACAAGAACAACAAGUGAAAUUCGCGGGAACUGUGGAGGUUUGCUUUGACCAGAGGGGUGCCAAUACUUCCAUGCCUUCGCCGCUUCCUCCGAGGAACUCGCCUUAUAUCUGUAACAUGGCGGUUCACAAGUCGCUUCGGAGGAGGGGCCUUGGGUGGCAUCUGCUGAAGGCAAGUGAGGAACUAAUUUCUCAGAUGAGUUCUUCAAGAGAGGUUUACUUGCACUGCAGAAUGAUUGACGAAGCUCCAUUUAGCAUGUAUGAAAAAGCAAAUUACAAAGUUGUAAAAACAGAUAGUAUUUUAGUCCUGCUGAUGUUGCAGAGACGAAAGCACCUGAUGUGCAAGAAACUUCCUCUGUCGAAUAUGCCUUCAGAAACAGAUCUCUCUGGUUCAGAUGAGUAAAAUAUUAGACAGAUGUAUACACAUGCUGCAAAAUACUGUUGAGAAAUGAUAACAACAUAAUUUUGUGAAUUUAACUGGAGAUUGGAGAUUAAUGAGUGAUUCAGGCAUCCUUGUUUGUUUCUCUUAUCUGUAGGAAAGAGGUUGCUUGUGUCAAAGGUUUCCAUUAUGCAUGUAUUCAUAUACUAGGAAUCUAUGUUUUCCAUCAGCACAGUAGCCUAUCAAAGAAACAAGAUUUGGGUGGUCGAGUCUGCUCAAGAUGUCCACUUCAACUCGGAACUCACGUUCCCCCUCGG